GCUGCCGUAGCUCAGGGGUAGAGCACGUCCUUGGUAAGGACGGGGUCGUAGGUUCAAUUCCUAUCGGCAGC
rnacentral:tRNA from 1 species